rnacentral:rRNA from 1 species
CCUACGGGUGGCAGCAGUGGGGAAUAUUGCACAAUGGGCGCAAGCCUGAUGCAGCCAUGCCGCGUGUAUGAAGAAGGCCUUCGGGUUGUAAAGUACUUUCAGCGGGGAGGAAGGUGUUGAGGUUAAUAACCUCAGCAAUUGACGUUACCCGCAGAAGAAGCACCGGCUAACUCCGUGCCAGCAGCCGCGGUAAUACGGAGGGUGCAAGCGUUAAUCGGAAUUACUGGGCGUAAAGCGCACGCAGGCGGUCUGUCAAGUCGGAUGUGAAAUCCCCGGGCUCAACCUGGGAACUGCAUUCGAAACUGGCAGGCUAGAGUCUUGUAGAGGGGGGUAGAAUUCCAGGUGUAGCGGUGAAAUGCGUAGAGAUCUGGAGGAAUACCGGUGGCGAAGGCGGCCCCCUGGACAAAGACUGACGCUCAGGUGCGAAAGCGUGGGGAGCAAACAGGAUUAGAUACCCUAGUAGUCC